GUCACCUUGAUUUUCAUGCUAAAAUCCCUAAUACGUUAGUAGAAGCUCUGAAUCCGGAUGGAUCCCCCAUUUCUAGGGUUUCCAGUUUAAUUUUCACUCGCAUUUCACCCAUUCUUCACAAAAACAAAUCUUGAUGUCUUUUCUAGAUGGUCUGAUUACUGGUUCUUAGCGUCGUUCUUCAGCACCGCGGUGGGAGGCGACGACGAUGGUGGUUUUCUCUCUGUCUGAUUACUGGUUCUUAGCGCCGUUCUUCAGCAUCGCUCUCUCUCUCAUCCAUUUUGUGUGAGGAUUGAAGCCCGUCAUUGCUGCGUUGCCAAAGCUUGCCAGAGUUUAUGCCUUCUCCACAUCCUCGCACCAUUCAUUCAGGUUUAUGAUUUUUUUGUAGUUGAGUGUCGACUUUGCUCACCUAACUGUAAUUUAAUUAAUGUUGUCUCGAGGAACUUAUUUUGAUCUUUUUCGAUGUAUACAUAUGUUUUUGAGAUUGACAGGAAUCCUUAGGAAAGGAUCAAAAUAAGGACUCGGUUUAGGAGAAAGGGAAUUGAUAUGUGGAAUUUCACGUUUUAGAAUCUUUUGAAGUAUACAGUUUGUUAACUAUUGCUGGUAAAUCAUGACUGAAUUUUAUAUCUCACUUGCUUGUAGUUCUACCAUUAAGAAUUUCAGAAGCACGAUUGUAAUCUUGUCCUUUUAGUUGAAUGACUGUAGAGUCUCAAUGCAAAAAACAGGUUGUUUAGCAAAAGGAUUAAGCUCAUCCAUCACUUUCCACACGUUUCUCUCUCACCAAAUUGCUUUCUUCCUGUGUUGAGCUUGUAGUACAGUAGCUUAGCUUGUUGUGGCCAAAACAAUGAGGAUUUUUAAUCUCUGCCUCAUUUUUUUCUCUAUCUUUCUUUCAAGUGCUGCAGCAUUUUCACCAAAGGUUGGUGUGAACUAUGGUACACUGGGGAACAACUUACCCAAACCAUCAAAAUCAGUUGAACUGAUCAAAAUCCUGAAAGCCGGGCGGGUGAAACUGUAUAACCCAGACCCAGAAAUCCUCAAAGCCCUCAAUGGCACAAAUAUACAAGUGUUUAUUAUGAUCCUGUUCUUCAUGCACAAAGAGUAGCUGCAAUUACGGUUUCGAAGUUUAAGUAUACAUCUUAUUUAUCUAUGCUGAUAUAGGCUAUAAGGAUGAAUGAGGUCUAAAAAUGUUGGUGUACUGUCAAAUAUGCUAAUUUGCUUGAUAUCAGAAUAUGGUACUGACCUACAGUUGGUGUAAAUGAGGUAAUGAAGCACAAUGCAUGUGUAAUUGCUCGUCUGUAAGAAGACUGAGUGGAUAUGUACUUUUAGAUGGAUUGUCCUAUGCGAAUGUCCUCUAAAGCAUUUUUGCUAUUAGAAUUUGUUAAAAUCCAUUGAUUUUCAUUAACCCUUAUUACUUUUUAGCACCUAGAAGUGUAGGUAUGAUAAGAAGAACAAAGGUGGCAUGAUUGUUAGUAGAGAUGCAUUACCUGAGAUACGCACAUGAAACAUACUCGCAUAAAGUUAAAUACAGUUUGAUAUAUAACCUUUUAUAUGACCUCGUGCUAAGAUAGGUUAGGUUCUUUAAAACGUUAUGCUUUUGAUGCACCUCUAAGGUUCUUUCUGGUUCAUUUGUUUGAAAUUAUGACCGACUUCUUUUCUAACAUGAAUUUUUUUGCUAAGCAGAAGGAUACUAUUCUUUCCUUUGCUUGUAUAGAAGUAUAUGCUUGUUCCUCAUUGUUAAUCUCAGAUGAUGUGAAUAAGAUGUUUAAGAGCAGCAGUUCCAAGGAGUGCUAGUAGGAAGGUUGUGCCCAUGCAAUUUGUGACGAUGAUGGCUAAUUUGGAGGGAGAGAAAUGCAUGUAUUUUGACAGGUAAAGCACUAGAUUACUCGCAUUAUGCUCCAGUAAUGUAUGAUCAUUCCUAUCUUUUACUCUGGCGGCUCCUACCAUUGGAGGUCUGACUAUUAUCCUUUUCUCUGAACAUAGAUUUGUGUUUAUAACUACUGCUUCUUUUUUGUUUGCUUUAGUGUGGAAAGUUCGUAUCAAAUUACAUGCUUUCAUUGGGUAAGCUUAUUCAUCCACUUCUUAUUUGCUUUACUGGGUCUGAUGGAGUGUUUGCAGAUGGACGGUGGUUUUUAUUUAUUUUUCUCAUUAUAUUUAUUAAGUCAAAUAACUCUGGAACUGAAAGAAAUUUUUGGUUUGUUCUUGUCUUUUGGUGUUUGUUUCUUGUUUGUGUCUUUUGUUUGUUGUAAGAAGGUUAUGUUGGGCUACUUGCCCCACUGUGCUGACAUUGGGUGUGAGUGUAGCUUUAAUGUACAAGGAAGAACGAGUCUCAGGUUGGGUUUUGUUCAUCUUUAACUGGCACCUAAUGUGUGUUUCCGUAGUACUUCUAAUUAAUCCCUGCAACUGCCUUGUACAUUAUCUAGUUAAGAUCAAUUAUAUCUAGAAAAUCCGAUGAAUAUGUGACCAAAGAAAAUCUUUUAAUUGAAAGGAUUCAUAUAUUUACUUAAAACGAAAUAGGAUGUGUGAUUUUAUCUUGAAAAAGUUCAAUAAGGAUGUGGGUCUUGCAUUUUGAGCAUCGAUGUACUUGGUGCUUCUAUAGAAAUAUGACAAUUUUGUACUCUAUACAGCCCCGAUUACAACAGCUCCUGUUCCUGGGGGUUUUCCCAACAUUAUCCCCUUGACACCAGGGCAGGUAUGUGUAUCUUAAUUGUAUGGUUCAUGCUAUUGUUUGUUUUCUACCAUUAGGCCUUCAUGUUAUCUUGUUUUGUGGAUGCAGCUUGGAACUCUUCCUGUCAUGCCUGUUCAAGCAAUGACUCAGCAAGCUACUCGGCAUGCUGGACGUGUUUAUGUAGGAGGAUUACCCCCAACUGCUAAUGAACAGGUUUUUAAUUGUUAUUAUCGUCAUAUUGUUCAUCCU